rnacentral:rRNA from 1 species
GAUCCUGGCUCAGGAUGAACGCUGGCGGCGUGCCUAACACAUGCAAGUCGAACGAAGCUUGACGGAUGAUUUCUUCGGAAUGAAACCUGAUAUGACUUAGUGGCGGACGGGUGAGUAACACGUGAGCAACCUGCCUUUCAGAGGGGGAGUAACGGCUGGAAACGGUCGCUAAUACCGCAUGAUGUGUUCGGAUGGCAUCAUCUGAACAUCAAAGAUUUAUCGCUGAAAGA